rnacentral:misc_RNA from 1 species
GCAAUGGGUAGUACAGGUACGGGCACUACAGACCUCUGCCCCAUCUCCGAUAAUUCAUUCCCGGUCCUCAGUUCCAGUAAACUGAGAGUCAGAUGAAGUGUGGGGCAGGAUUCAGUAGAAACGCCCGGCGAUGGCGACAAAGGAAGAGAUAUCUCAAUCUCGUUCUCUUGCGACGAAGACACGAACUCGGCUAGGUUCAGUGAAGCCG